CCUACGGGUGGCUGCAGUGGGGAAUAUUGGACAAUGGGGGCAACCCUGAUCCAGCCAUGCCGCGUGUGUGAAGAAGGCCCUCGGGUUGUAAAGCACUUUCAGUGAGGAAGAACGCCUGGUGGUUAAUACCCAUCAGGAAAGACAUCACUCACAGAAGAAGCACCGGCUAACUCCGUGCCAGCAGCCGCGGUAAUACGGAGGGUGCGAGCGUUAAUCGGAAUUACUGGGCGUAAAGCGCGCGUAGGUGGCUGGAUAAGCCGGUUGUGCAAGCCCCGGGCUCAACCUGGGAACGGCAUCCGGAACUGUCAAGCUAGAGUGCAGGAGAGGAAGGUAGAAUUCCCGGUGUAGCGGUGAAAUGCGUAGAGAUCGGGAGGAAUACCAGUGGCGAAGGCGGCCUUCUGGACUGACACUGACACUGAGGUGCGAAAGCGUGGGUAGCAAACAGGAUUAGAUACCCUUGUAGUC
rnacentral:rRNA from 1 species